UUUCUCAAAUGAUGGCAAGCCAACACAAUGACCUACGCAACCAGUGACUGGAAAACAGAGAGCCACCGCUCCCUCGGAGCGCACAAACUGUCUGCCUGUCUCGAGCAGUGCUCACUCUUCCUACGGCUUGGCCUCAAUAUAGCUGCCCCAGUGCGUUGACUGGACUAAGCAUGCGUCCCUUUAUGUCUGGCCCCCUGUUUACUACUUGUGUAAUACUCUGCACACUGGGAAUGAACCCCAUUACUGAGGUAGCUUGUUUUCUUCUUUCUCUCCUUUUCUCACCAGCUCACAUUGCUCGUGUUUAUAACACAGGGGACCAGAAUCUCCCAAAGGCCUUCGGCUCCAGGCGGAAAGGUGAUUUCUUUCCUACUAAAAUAACGCAGCAUGGGACUCUAAUAUUGCAGGUGACUGUUGUGAUUAAAAGUUGUUUGGCUCCCAUGAGGUCUACGUGUGUGUGCGUCUGUAUGAUGUGGCUGUGCCACGACACAAGCAUUUAUUUGCACCUAUUUGCAUUUCUUAACAGUGACAGGAAGAGCUGUGCGGUUUUCAUUGCAAACGAGUGUUGUAACACCCUAAGGAAACAGCCCUGUAACACAGCUCUUUUCCUUCUUUUCAGUGAGGAAAGGAUGAUGGGCUUUUCACGACACAUUUCUCUGGCUCACCUGGCUUGGACCUGAGCCCUCUUCCCUUUUCUCUGUCUGCAUACACUGGAGCACACUGGACACGGGUACAGACAUCUCCAUACAGGGAUGAGAAACAGUGCCUGGGCACCUGCAGGAUUUAACUAGCAGGCAUGAAACUGAAGGAAGCUCUUCACAUUGACUUUAACAGGAUUUAGUGAGAUGAAAGUCUGCUGGGAAGAAAGAAGAAGCACAAAGAAGGAGAGAUAAAAGGUGGAGAAAGAGAAGCAGAAAACACAAGAAGAACUAGUGAAAUGACAGACUAGCAGGAGCAGACAGGAAAUGCCUGGGUAUACAUCAGCACAUAAGUAGUGGUGUAUAACACCAGUAAAGACUGUUUCACAGAUAACAUAAGACAGUAUUGGAGAGGUAGUAAUAGUGGUGUGUUCCCUGUAGAGGGUGAGAUGGGGCUUAGAGCCGGCAGGGCUCGGGAGUGUCACUGCAACAACGAGGAAAGUGGUUAAAGGGGAACCACAGGUGAGUUAAAGCAGAGUCACUGAGCUGGAAAGAGGUAAAAUUGUGUGUAGUUUUCUUUGAGGGCAAUGGGGGGGCUGGAGCGACACGCAUAAUAAUCCCACACAAAGAGAGCGAGAGGGAGGGAGAGAGCAAGUGAGAAUGGAGGGAGAGCUCUCGGAGGGAGAAACUCGAAAUUACAUACACACAGGUGAGACUCAGCAUUUCAAACUGUCACACACACACACACACACACACACACACACACACACACCAGUGCGAGCUAAAAGACGUUUCACGAUCAGCAGCGUGAUUAUGCAACGCCAAAAAAUGAAUAUGUACACGACUCUGUUUUUGCCUGAGAGGCGGGUCCCCCGGCUGACUAAUGCUAAUGUGCCCGUCUGUGCCUCUUUCACCUCAUAGCGUGCCUGCUUCACCUUAAACAACGCAGAGACGUGACAAACUACUGCAGUACGCAACAAGCCUAAAGGUAACAAUGUACAAAGAAGAAAAAAGAGAAUAUCUGUCAUAAGACGCAGAAACAAACACUGCCUGUAUGUUUAAGGUCGCAAUAUAGGAAUAGCUGUUUUCAUUAUUAUCAUAUCUGAUACAUAAAUGUGUAAUUUCCUCGCUUUAAUGAAAUAUUUCCCAGUUUUUAUAUUAUUUACAACUUUCAGCACAUUAUACUUUUGUUCUUUCUUCAUCGCCAUCUCUUUGAACACACGCAGAAACAACUGAGUGGGAGGCAGAACACUGACAGCUCGCUCACUUCGGAAAUUUAACUCUCCUUCGAGCAACACCGCAACACAACCUUAUUCUGGAAGGGGAAGACGUUAUCUACACCGAAAGCCAGUUAAUUUUUAAAGUCGGACUGCUUUGGAUUCUGUAGUUUUCAUAAAUUGUAAAAUGGAAAUGGGGAACUGUUGGUCAAGAAACAGAAAGAACCUCAGUAUUCAUCCCCAGGAUCGCCGCGCUGCCUCUCUGCUGCAGACUCUGGUUUGCAUUACAGUAAAUUUGGAAUGAAAGGCUGAUCUGUGAACACAUGAGAUGCACAAACUCAAUGUAAUGUUAACCAAGCUUCCCACACAAACUCAUGAGUCAGCACGACAUGUUCAUUUACCGACAGGCUGCCGUACGUGCUCAUUUUCUCAUUCAUUUGAAAACAUCGAGUUUGCCGUAGUCGCAGAUAAGAUCAGGGCUUUAGAUGUUUCGCAUUGUAAUAAACCUUUGAAAAGGGCUCCUUUAUGCAUUCGCAGCGAGACGCAUGAAUAUGGGAAUGAAAGGUUAAAGUAUUACGAAAACGCUCGGCAUACUUGAAUAGAAUAUUAAUUACGUAACGGCGACAAAAUAAAUCACAAAACAAGCCGCCUUGGCAAUUAGUAGGUUGAUAUAAUGGCGGCCCUGAUACAGGCAUCUAGCCACAACAAGAGUGUGUUUUAGAAAAAUGUCAUCAUUUACUCUAGCCUAUAAAAAUUAUAGAAAACAGCCUUAAGCCCCGAGAACAAAAUGGAUGUCGAGUUGGACAAAACAUCCAUCUGCCACCUUCUUUACGGCACAGGCGCAAGGCAAUAACGAGGUUAUUUGGCUGUUGGUAUUUGCUGCCUGCUCCUGUGCCUACAGGUGAUGUGAGGGAAACCUCAAUAAAUUCAGCCAUUCUGUCAUCAAACUGUUCCACGCGUGGAUGUGAAGAAAGUGGAGCUAUUUAUUUUAGCAUGGAAGAUAAAUAUGUUCCUGUUAAAAAAGCCGGGGGCCUAAAUUCAAACAAACCUUAUUGGUCUAGUAGACCCAGCUGAGCUACAUAACAUCUCACAUAGUUAACGCGCACACGCACACACUUGGGUAGGGUGGGGUGGGGGGGUGACAUACAGCUCUAUGAUUCGCUUAUUUAUCUCACAUUCAUUUCAUUCCGAUUUUCUUUCCCGUCUUGUUCCCACUUCUCAUGCGGUAUCCCUCCAUUUUAUCUGUUUUCUCUUCCCCUUUCAUUCACAACAUAAUAAUUAGAAGGUAAUGAAUGCUUUAAGGGUAGAUACUGGGGAAGUGAGCAAACAAGAAAAGGAAGCCUUUGUCAUCUCAUGCUCCAUCUCUGCUAUUCAGUGCCAGCGGUACACUCGCGUCGCAUCCACUCCUCUCAGCACAAUGAGCCUGAGACAUCAAAGCGGAGAUUGAGAAGGAGAGAGCGCAAGAAAGACAGAGGGGAGGGAGGGAGACAAAAGCGGAAAAAGCAACCGAGGAAGAAAGCCAGAAAGAAGAGACGGACCCCAAAAAUACCUGUUUUUCCCCCUCUUUUCUUUUUUUGGAGGAAGCAUAAGGUGUCAUUACGGUGGAAUAUUUCCUGCUGAAUGGACUUCUAUCAUUUUUUCUUCGCAGGACAUAAACCAUUUUAAUCUUGGCACUCAAAAGUUGCAGUGGUUCUUAAUAAAAAGCACAUUUUCACAUAUGCAACAGAACAUUUCUGGCCUUCCUCACAGCAGCUACCAAACUCAUUUUAUUCAGUGCCAGUGGAAGUAAGCAUCUUAUAAGGCACUCUAUCAACCCUAUUAUGCGAAAGCAGCGAAAGUUUUGUUUUUUUAAAUCAGUAGAAAAAUAAUGAUGUGAAAUGCAAGUAGACCAGGCUGUCUGAGACUCUAAACUUUGAAUAAAUACUAAACAAAGGGCUGCACAUUUGAAGGAAAUAAGCACUGAAGCCUUGAUGUUUAAAGCAAAUAAGUAAAAACAGAAUUUACUGACGCUCUGAGUCGAUCAAUUUUGCCUCGGCACCUCAUCCCAUCCACGUUUACCCAGGGUGUGAUUUUACUGUUACUUACUGCUCAUACAUCUUUUAAAGAUUUGGGAGUAGUAAUUUGUGGGGAGGAAAAAAAAGAAACCAAAUGCAAAUGAGCAGCAUGCUCUUAUUGUGAAAUGAUUAACAUUCCCUCCACAGAUCAGAGCGGGUUUCUCAGCUCCCCUGGUUGAAAUGCUAAUGGUGCUUCCAACCCAGUUUAAUGUCAAUCCUCCUCUAUUUUUUUCCUGUUAGGGAGGAGCUUCCUGUCUCUGUUUCCAUACACAGCAGCAGGAGGGACAGGCAGCAGGCCUACUCCCCCAUCUGGAUUUGGGGAAUCAACCCAAGGCAAAAAAAAAGAGAAAGAGGAACAGGAGGAGUGUUUGAUGGUGAGGGGGCCAGUGGAUACAGACUGUAAAACCUGAUCUCGCCUUUGAAGAUAUCCAACUUGUUUUAAAAGGUCUGCCGGGCUGAUUUUGUGAGACCAAAAUCGAUCACACAGUGGAUUUUUCGAGUCAGGCAAUGUAUCACCUGCUGGAGUGUUAAGAGCAGCACUAUGGAGGGACAAGAGCUGUUCAGUCCAUCAGCGGGAGCCCUGCAGUGAGUGAGACGGUGAGACGGUGAUAUCUGCAGUUCGCUCCAGCUAACAACCUGCUUUUGUUUACUUAUCCCCUCCGAUGUGAUUAAACUGGCAAAUGAGUACCAUCUAUGAUGAUUUUACAGAAGGUCUGGGCACAUUUUGAGGGGGUGUUUAGGAAAUACUAAAAAUAGGGGGAGCUGCGAGUAGGAGUGAGCAACAACAGCCUGAAGUAAGGGACGAAUGAAAAAGAAAACUCAUAUGGGAAAGAAAAAUAAACAAAUGUACAGUAAAAAAAAAAGAAAAAAAAAGGUUGCUUUAUUUGCACUGUACGUCUCAAAACACUUGUCUCGUACUAUAAUACA